rnacentral:ncRNA from 1 species
GGACAUUAAUCUGAUCUUUAAUACCGCAAGGGAAAUGUAAGUACACCCCUAUAAAUGAUAAUACAUUUGUAUGUGUGAAAAAGAAAAAAAUCAAAUAUUGAAACUUUUUAAUUACAUAAUUAAGAUCAGGGUAAUCUUGUGCCAGCACUUGCGGUAAGACAAGCUCAAUAUAAUUGAUGAAUAAAACAUGAUCUACUUUGUGAAUAAACAAGGCAGGUAGAAAUAAUUUAAAAUAAAAUGUGAUAAAAAUAAGUGAAAUUUUUUUAUCAACUCAAAAUUAUCAUACCCUAAAUUGAAAUAAAAGACUAGGAUUAGAUACCCUAUUAUGUCAAUGAAUUAACCCGCACGGAUGUAACAAUCAAAAAUUAUGGCGGCCAUAAAACAUCUCAGAGGAAUAUGGGGUUUAAAACGAGGAUCCACGAACAUCUUACUUUAGCUAGUAAUAUAAGUCUUUAUAUCGCCGUCAAAAAAAGCUAAGUACAAAAUUUUCUUGAAGUUUUUCGACCAACUGUUCAGGUAUAGAUGAAGUUUAUGCUAAAGGUGCCUUGUAUCUCACCAAAACUAUGUCCAAGACUCAUUGUAAAAAUAAUGUCGAGGUGGAUUUGAAAGUAUUAUUAUUUUAAUAUAAUAAUAAGAAAUAUGAAAUUUUUGGUGUACAGAUCGCCCGUCACCCCCAUUUAAACAUGGGGUAAGUCGUAACAAAGUUAAUUUACCGGAAGGUGAAAUAAAACAUAAAUUAA